rnacentral:rRNA from 1 species
AAAAUCCGGGCUGCACAAGGCUAAAUACGCGGACGAAAGUACGGAUCUUCGGAUCCGGAACAAGUUGAUGACCCCAGAUGCCGAGAAAAUUCCCGUUCAUCUAUACAUACUCCACUGGCAGUACCGCAAACCGACACAGGUAGGUGGGAUGAGAAUUCUAAGGUGCUUGUGAGAACCCUCGUUCAGGAACUCUGCAAAAUGUAACCGUAACUUCGGGAGAAGGUUAGCCGUGUUCACCGAGAACACGGUCGCAGAGAAAUGUUUCAGGCGACUGUUUAACAAAAACACAGGUCUCCGCAAAGUUGUAAAGACAACGUAUGGGGGCUGACGCCUGCCCAAUGCUGGAAGGUUAAAAGGAGUGGUUAGGAGUAAUCCGAAGCUGCGAAUUGAAGCCCCAGUGAAUGGCGGCCGUAACAAUAACGGUCCUAAGGUAGCGAAAUUCCUUGUCGGGUAAGUUCCGACCUGCACGAAUGGCGUAACGAUCUGAAAGCUGUCUUAACGAGGGACACAGCGAACUUGUAGUACCGGUGAAGAUGCCGGUUUCCCGCAUCUAGACGGAAAGACCCCGUGCACCUUGACUACAACUUGAUAGUGAUUUCGGGUAAAUAAUGCGCAGCAUAGGUGGGAGGCUUUGAUGUCAGGCUUUUGGGCUUGGCGGAGCCACAGGUGAGAUACCACCCUUUAUUUAUUUGGACUCUAACCUCGAUCCGUAAUCCGGAUCAGGGACAUUAUCAGGCGGGUAGUUUGACUGGGGCGGUCGCCUCCUAAAGAGUAACGGAGGCGCUCGAAGGUUGGCUCAGGCUGUUUGGAAAUCAGCCGCAGAGUGUAAACGCAUAAGCCAGCUUAACUGCGAGACAUACACGUCGAGCAGGUACGAAAGUAGGAGUUAGUGAUUCGGCGGUCGCUUACGGAAGUGCCGUCGCUCAACGGAUAAAAGGUACGCCGGGGAUAACAGGCUGAUCCUGCCCAAGAGUUCACAUCGACGGCAGGGUUUGGCACCUCGAUGUCGGCUCAUCAUAUCCUGGGGCUGAAGAAGGUCCCAAGGGUUCGGCUGUUCGCCGAUUAAAAUGGUACGUGAGCUGGGUUCAGAACGUCGCGAGACAGUUCGGUCCCUAUCUGGUGUGGGCGUAGCAAUAUUGAAGGAAUCUGUCCUUAGUACGAGAGGACCGGGAUGGAUUGACCUCUAGUGUACGUGUUAUGGCGCCAGCCGUAUCGCACGGUAGCUAUGUCGAGCAUGGAUAAACGCUGAAUGCAUCUAAGCGUGAAGCCAGACCUAAGAUAAGUAUUGCCAGUGAGACUCGUGGAAGACCACCACGUUGAUAGGUCGGAGAUGUAAGUGCAGUAAAGUAUUUAGUUUACCGAUACUAAUUGUCCCAAGGCUUGACC